GGCAUACCAUCGGUGCCCGGCUCCAUGAGAUAGGAGGACCUCACCACGGGCCUGUCGGACAGCUCGCCCUGCGCUCUCUCUGCCAGGCAGGUGCUCCUGCCCAGGCACUGAUUCCUCAGGCUUCUCAGGCCUGAGCAGCGGAAGGGGUUUCUGGAGGGAUGGUUCCAGCAUCUGUUUCUCCAACCACCCUUUCCUCCUUCCUUCCUGAAUCGGAGUCUCAAAGUUGGGAGCAACCUUCUAGAAGGACGCCAGCCACAACACCCUGACAGACGGACAGGUAUUCUUCCUGUGUUUGCACAAAGACAGUAACAGGGAGCUCACCACCUCACAAAGAGGCAUCCCGGUCCAUUUCUGAACCGAGCAAAAGCUUUAGAAAGUUCCUCCGCACUCGGAGCCAAAAAUCAGCUUCCCCGUAGUCAUGGCAAUCAGCCUAAAUAAGGGAACAUAAAAAGCCAGUCGGGGUGGAGGGGUGGGUACAGAGAGAAGGAUAUCACACGAUGCUGAACUGGCAAAGCUGAACAUUUUUUAAAAUCCCAACCCAAAACAAAGUAUUAGGAAGGUUCACAGUACAAAGGGCAGGCAGAAGCAAACUGGGAUGACCUGUUUGCACAGAUGGUAACGCUUCCUCCACGCUGAUGUAACACGGCCCAGACGCUCCCAGCAAAACAGCUGGCCGCUUUGCAUGCAGCCUCAGAAACGAGCCUGCAGGGAAUCCAAGGUUUCCGUUCGCUGGAGCGCAGCAGGCUGCGUCCUAGCGGUGCCGAGUAAAUAGAAACAGCUUCCAUAUGCCGGCCAUAAAGCAAAGAUGGGGAGGCGAAGAGAGGGGAGGCAGGCAGAAGGAAACAACUUCCUUGCACCAAAAACCCUCUCCAUUUUGAAAAAGGGAAAUCAAGACUGGCCAGAUCACCAGAAGCUCAGGCACGAGAGUCAUGAUCUAGGAUGCAGAGUUGCUGGGAGAAGCCUAGCUGGCUGGGACCAGGGGCCAUGGGGCAAUGCUGGCUGAACCAAGGCCAGGGUUCUGCUCUCUUCCAGGCUUCAGGGAAGAUGGGAAGGAAAGAAGAUGAGGAACAUGGAGAGGAAGAAGGCAAAAAAUUCAGCUCUACACACACAGACACACAUCACACACAGACACACACACACUCAUUGCCCAGACUAUUUUCCCAGGAGGCUGUGGUGUCUAGAGAGAGGAGCCCUGGACACCAGGUCAAGCCACACACCCCCAAGCCUCUGUUUCCUCAUUUGUAAAACAGGGCCAGCUACAGCUAUGCUUUCUGAACUUCAUGGGGCCGUCGUGCAGACAAAUGAGAAUAUUUCCAAGGCACUUUGAGCCCUUUAGAAAUGGGUCCCCACCAGAAUGAUAACAAGGAAUCAUCCCCAUCAUUUGCCAGUUGUCACUGGGAGCCCCACUCCAUGGGAAAAUGUUGAAAAAGGAAAUGAAGGUAAUAAUACAACGAGGCUGACUAGGUAUAGCAGCACGACAGAAGUGGGGUUCUGUGGCUGGCUGUGCUCCCCAAGGUCCCCAGAUUAAAGCCUUCGAAACAAUGGGAAGCAAUUCUGCCAGAAAGAAGCAGGGUGAACAUUAUUCUCUGCCCGGCCCUUCAGAUUCUGGCAAAUGGAUUCGAGAUGGAGAGCCAACAGGCCCCGCGUUAACACUGGGCAUUAGAACAGAUGUCCAUGAGGGCAGACCCUGCGGCAAAUGGUAGGGGCUGCAGAAAUGCUGAACAGCAGCAGGCCGACCCCCUGAGAGCCUGGGAAGGCCUGCAAACCGCUCCCCUCUCCUCACCCAGAUGCCCAGCUUCCAGCAGCAGCUUGGCCCCACCCCCUGCCUGUCGCCAAGAAGAAAGGGAAAAGGAAUGAGUUCAAUGUCCAAUUCCAGAUCACAAAUCUAGGGUCUUGGGGAUCAUUUAGCCCAAAGCCUCAUCAACCAGGUGAUCUGUUCCUCUUUGGGGAAAUGACUCCUUGGGGAGAGGGGGGUGCCAAGGAAAUCACGUCAGAAUUGGAAAGGACUUCAAAGUCAUCAUUAUUUCUUAAAGGUUCGCUUUACUAUCCCAUCCCCUUUGGCUUAUAUCAUGAUGCUGGGAGCAUGAGAUGAACAGCCUCUGCUACCAGCCAUACCUGGGGAAUGAGCACGGCAGGAAGAGGGAUCUAGAAGGAGAGAAAGCAAAUGACAACAGAAAGGAGAUGAGGGAGGGAGGAAGGGAGACCGAGGCUGGCCUCCCAGGAGCAGUGGGGGAGGCCCGGCAAAUGCUUCCUUCUACAGCAGGGAUGGAGGCCCUGACUGACCUAACCCCGGCCCCCCCCAACUCUGCAGAAGACACACGAAAACCUUUAAGUCAGUCUCUGGGAAUCCAUGGUCUCCUUGGAAAGGGCCAUCACUGUUUUCCGGGAGUAGAGGGAGGAGGCAGGGAACUAAAAAACCACGGCCUCGGCAAGGUGGGGGAGGACUCACCUUCCCCUGAAUCCGGGUACCAACACAGGUUUGAGGCCUUGGUCCCCUUUAAAGAAGACUUCCUCUAAUAGUAUGGCUUGCUGAAAAAAGUCCUAGCCUAGAAGACCUGGGUUCAGUUUCUGCCUCUGAUGUUUCCCAGCUGUGGGACCUUGGGCAGAAGUCCCUCCAUCUCUCUGAGUCUCAGUUUCCUCACUUGUGAAAGUGAGAUAAUAAUAUCUAAGCCCCUUUACUCACAGGGCUGGUGUGAAGUUCAAAUGGAAUAAGGCGCUUUUGGCAAAGCCCAGAGCAUUUUAUAAA